rnacentral:rRNA from 1 species
AGUGAACGCUGGCGGUAGGCCUAACACAUGCAAGUCGAACGGCAGCACAGGAGAGCUUGCUCUCUGGGUGGCGAGUGGCGGACGGGUGAGGAAUACAUCGGAAUCUACUCUGUCGUGGGGGAUAACGUAGGGAAACUUACGCUAAUACCGCAUACGACCUACGGGUGAAAGCAGGGGACCUUCGGGCGUUGCGCGAUUGAAUGAGCCGAGGUCGGAUUAGCUAGUUGGCGGGGUAAAGGCCCACCAAGGCGACGAUCCGUAGCUGGUCUGAGAGGAUGAUCAGCCACACUGGAACUGAGACACGGUCCAGACUCCUACGGGAGGCAGCAGUGGGGAAUAUUGGACAAUGGGCGCAAGCCUGAUCCAGCCAUACCGCGUGGGUGAAGAAGGCCUUCGGGUUGUAAAGCCCUUUUGUUGGGAAAGAAAUCCAGCUGGCUAAUACCCGGUUGGGAUGACGGUACCCAAAGAAUAAGCACCGGCUAACUUCGUGCCAGCCGCCGCAGUAA